GCGGGUGAAAAGCCCGCUCGCCGGAAGACCAAGGGUUCCUGUCCAACGUUAAUCGGGGCAGGGUGAGUCGACCCCUAAGGCGAGGCCGAAAGGCGUAGUCGAUGGGAAACAGGUUAAUAUUCCUGUACUUGGUGUUACUGCGAAGGGGGGACGGAGAAGGCUAUGUUAGCCGGGCGACGGUUGUCCCGGUUUAAGCAUGUAGGCGGAACGAUUAGGUAAAUCCGGUCGUUUAUUAACGCUGAGGUGUGAUGACGAGGCACUACGGUGCUGAAGUAACAAAUGCCCUGCUUCCAGGAAAAGCCUCUAAGCAUCAGGUAACAUCAAAUCGUACCCCAAACCGACACAGGUGGUCAGGUAGAGAAUACCAAGGCGCUUGAGAGAACUCGGGUGAAGGAACUAGGCAAAAUGGUGCCGUAACUUCGGGAGAAGGCACGCUGAUAUGUAGGUGAAGCCCCUGCGGGUGGAGCUGAAAUCAGUCGAAGAUACCAGCUGGCUGCAACUGUUUAUUAAAAACACAGCACUGUGCAAACACGAAAGUGGACGUAUACGGUGUGACGCCUGCCCGGUGCCGGAAGGUUAAUUGAUGGGGUUAGCGGCAACGCGAAGCUCUUGAUCGAAGCCCCGGUAAACGGCGGCCGUAACUAUAACGGUCCUAAGGUAGCGAAAUUCCUUGUCGGGUAAGUUCCGACCUGCACGAAUGGCGUAAUGAUGGCCAGGCUGUCUCCACCCGAGACUCAGUGAAAUUGAACUCGCUGUGAAGAUGCAGUGUACCCGCGGCAAGACGGAAAGACCCCGUGAACCUUUACUAUAGCUUGACACUGAACACUGGUCCUUGAUGUGUAGGAUAGGUGGGAGGCUUUGAAGCGUGGACGCCAGUCUGCGUGGAGCCGACCUUGAAAUACCACCCUUUAAUGGCUGGUGUUCUAACGUAGACCCGUAAUCCGGGUUGCGGACAGUGUCUGGUGGGUAGUUUGACUGGGGCGGUCUCCUCCCAAAGAGUAACGGAGGAGCACGAAGGUUAGCUAAUCCUGGUCGGACAUCAGGAGGUUAGUGCAAUGGCAUAAGCUAGCUUGACUGCGAGAGUGACGGCUCGAGCAGGUGCGAAAGCAGGUCAUAGUGAUCCGGUGGUUCUGAAUGGAAGGGCCAUCGCUCAACGGAUAAAAGGUACUCCGGGGAUAACAGGCUGAUACCGCCCAAGAGUUCAUAUCGACGGCGGUGUUUGGCACCUCGAUGUCGGCUCAUCACAUCCUGGGGCUGAAGUAGGUCCCAAGGGUAUGGCUGUUCGCCAUUUAAAGUGGUACGCGAGCUGGGUUUAGAACGUCGUGAGACAGUUCGGUCCCUAUCUGCCGUGGGCGCUGGAGAAUUGAGGGGGGCUGCUCCUAGUACGAGAGGACCGGAGUGGACGCAUCACUGGUGUUCGGGUUGUCAUGCCAAUGGCACUGCCCGGUAGCUAAAUGCGGAAAAGAUAAGUGCUGAAAGCAUCUAAGCACGAAACUUGCCCCGAGAUGAGUUCUCCCUGACCCUUUAAGGGUCCUGAAGGAACGUUGAAGACUACGACGUUGAUAGGUCGGGUGUGUAAGCGCAGCGAUGCGUUGAGCUAACCGAUACUAAUGAACCGUGAGGCUUAACCUU
rnacentral:rRNA from 1 species